AAUGAACGUUGGCGGCGUGGAUUAGGCAUGCAAGUCGAGCGAGAAGUUUUCCUUCGGGAGAAUGGACAGCGGCGAACGGGAGAGUAACGAGUGGAGUACCUACCCCGGGACCCGGGAUAGCCGUGGGAAACUGCGGGUAAUACCGGAUAACGUCUCCGGACCAAAGGUGUGAUUCCGUCUUGGGAUGGCUCCGCUUCCUAUUAGCUUGUUGGUGAGGUAACGGCUCACCAAGGCAACGAUGGGUACCGGGUGUGAGAGCAUGACCCGGCUCACUGGGACUGAGACACUGCCCAGACACCUACGGGUGGCUGCAGUCGAGAAUCUUCGGCAAUGGACGCAAGUCCGACCGAGCGACGCCGCGUGCGGGAUGAAGGCCCUCGGGUUGUAAACCGCUGUCAGAGGGGAUGAAAUGCCAGGUGGCAAUCCACCUGGUUUGACAAAUCCUCAGAGGAAGGACGGCUAAGUU
rnacentral:rRNA from 1 species